AUGUCGCAGAGCUUCCUCUUCACUUCAGAGUCUGUAGGGGAAGGUCACCCAGAUAAGAUUUGUGACCAAAUCAGUGAUGCUGUUCUUGAUGCACACCUUCAGCAGGAUGCUGAUGCUAAAGUGGCUUGUGAAACUGUUGCUAAAACUGGAAUGAUCCUUCUUGCUGGGGAAAUUACAUCCAGAGCUGCCAUUGAUUACCAGAAAGUAGUGUGUGAAGCCAUAAAGCACAUUGGCUAUGAUGAUUCUUCCAAAGGGUUUGACUACAAGACUUGUAAUGUGUUGGUUGCCUUGGAACAACAGUCACCAGAUAUUGCCCAGGGUGUUCAUCUUGACCAGAAUGAGGAAGACAUUGGUGCAGGAGACCAGGGUUUGAUGUUUGGUUAUGCCACUGAUGAAACUGAAGAGUGUAUGCCUUCAACCAUUGUCUUAGCACACAAGCUAAAUGCUCAAUUGGCUGAACUACACCGCAAUGGCACAUUGCCUUGGUUACGCCCAGAUUCUAAGACUCAAGUGACUGUGCAGUAUAUGCAAGAUCGAGGGUGCUGUGCUUCCCAUCAGAGUCCACAUGAUUCUUAUAUCUGUUCAGCAUGAUGAAGAAGCUUGUCUUGAUGAGAUGAGGGAUGCUCUAAAGGAGAAAGUGAUCAAAGCUGUCGUUACCUGCAAAGUCCCUUGAUGAGGAUACAAUUUACCACCUACAGCCAAGUGGCAGAUUUGUUAUUGGUGGGCCUCAGGGUGAUGCUGGUUUGACUGGCUGAAAAAUCAUUGUGGAUACUUAUGGCGGUUGGGUCAUUCAUGGAGGAGGGGCCUUUUCAGGACAGGAUUAUACCAAAGUGGACCACUCGGCUGCUUAAGCUGCUUGUAGGCUGGCAAAGUCCCUUGUUAGAGGAGGUCUGUGCAGGAGGGUUCUUGUUCAGGUCUCUUAUGCUAUUGGAGUUUCUCAUCCAUUGUUGAUCUCCAUUUUCCAUUAUGGCACUUCUCAGAAGAGUAGAAGAGAGCUACUAGAAAUUGUAAAGAAGAAUUUUGAUCUUCGCCCUGGGGUCAUUGUCAGGGAUCUGGAUCUGAAGAAGCCAAUUUAUCAGAGGACUGCAGCCUAUAGCCACUUUGGGAAGAGCAGCCU